rnacentral:rRNA from 1 species
GAUGAACGCUGGCGGCGUGCCUAAUACAUGCAAGUCGAGCGAACAGACGAGGAGUUUGCUCCUCUGACGUUUGCGGCGCACGGGUGAGUAACACGUGGAUAACCUACCUAUAAGACUGGGAUAACUUCGGGAAACCGGAGCUAAUACCGGAUAACAUCUUGAACCGCAUUGUUCAAUAGUGAAAGACGGUUUUGCUGUCACUUAUAGAUGGAUCCGCGCCGCAUUAGCUAGUUGGUAAGGUAACGGCUUACCAAGGGGAGGACGCGUAGCCGACCUCAGAGGGGACGCGGCGACACUGGAACGGAGGCAUGAUCCACAACCCUGCGAGAGGCAGACGUCGGGAAUCUUCCGGAAUGGGAGAAGUGGGGACGGAGCAACGAUGGGCGAGUGCUGAAGGUAUUAGGACCGAGAAACUGAUUAAUGAGGGAAGAUCAAAUGGGUAAGUAACUAAGCACGUCAUGAAGGUAACUAACCAGAAAGGCACGGCUAACUACGUG